AGAGUUUGAUCCUGGCUCAGGAUGAACGCUGGCGGCGUGCUUAACACAUGCAAGUCGAACGAACCUUCGGGUUAGUGGCGGACGGGUGAGUAACGCGUGAGAAUCUGCCCUCAGGAGGGGGAUAACGGUUGGAAACGACCGCUAAUACCCCAUAUGCCGAUAGGUGAAAUGAAUUUCGCCUGAGGAUGAGCUCGCGUCUGAUUAGCUAGUUGGUGAGGUAAUGGCUCACCAAGGCUUCGAUCAGUAGCUGGUCUGAGAGGAUGAUCAGCCACACUGGGACUGAGACACGGCCCAGACUCCUACGGGAGGCAGCAGUGGGGAAUUUUCCGCAAUGGGCGAAAGCCUGACGGAGCAACGCCGCGUGAGGGACGAAGGCCUCUGGGCUGUAAACCUCUUUUCUCAAGGAAGAAGAUAUGACGGUACUUGAGGAAUAAGCCACGGCUAAUUCCGUGCCAGCAGCCGCGGUAAUACGGGAGUGGCAAGCGUUAUCCGGAAUUAUUGGGCGUAAAGCGUCCGCAGGCGGCUUAUCAAGUCUGCUGUUAAAACGUGGAGCUUAACUCCAUCAUGGCAGUGGAAACUGAUAGGCUUGAGUAUGGUAGGGGCAGAGGGAAUUCCCGGUGUAGCGGUGAAAUGCGUAGAUAUCGGGAAGAACACCAGUGGCGAAGGCGCUCUGCUGGGCCAUUACUGACGCUCAUGGACGAAAGCCAGGGGAGCGAAAGGGAUUAGAUACCCCUGUAGUCCUGGCCGUAAACGAUGAACACUAGGUGUCGGGGGAAUCGACCCCUUCGGUGUCGUAGCUAACGCGUUAAGUGUUCCGCCUGGGGAGUACGCACGCAAGUGUGAAACUCAAAGGAAUUGACGGGGGCCCGCACAAGCGGUGGAGUAUGUGGUUUAAUUCGAUGCAACGCGAAGAACCUUACCAGGGUUUGACAUCCUGCGAACCUCUUAGAAAUUUGAGGGUGCCUUCGGGAAUGCAGUGACAGGUGGUGCAUGGCUGUCGUCAGCUCGUGUCGUGAGAUGUUGGGUUAAGUCCCGCAACGAGCGCAACCCACGUUUUUAGUUGCCAGCAUUUAGUUGGGCACUCUAGAAAGACCGCCGGUGAUAAACCGGAGGAAGGUGUGGAUGACGUCAAGUCAUCAUGCCCCUUACACCCUGGGCUACACACGUACUACAAUGCUACGGACAAAGGGCAGCAAACUCGCGAGAGCUAGCAAAUCCCAUAAACCGUGGCUCAGUUCAGAUCGUAGGCUGCAACUCGCCUACGUGAAGUAGGAAUCGCUAGUAAUCGCAGGUCAGCAUACUGCGGUGAAUACGUUCCCGGGCCUUGUACACACCGCCCGUCACACCAUGGAAGUUGGCCAUGCCCGAAGUCGUUACUCCAACCCUUGUGGAGGAGGACGCCGAAGGUGGGGCUAAUGACUGGGGUGAAGUCGUAACAAGGUAGCCGUACCGGAAGGUGCGGCUG
rnacentral:rRNA from 1 species